UUCAAAAGUAGGGCUGUCAUUUUCAUAAAGUGUUACAAGUCCUUGGAAUCUAUUUCCCUCCACACUCUAUGUGGAAUGUGUGUGGAUAUGUACAGUUUCAUUUCUGACAACUGAUAUCCUCAACAGAGGUGACCAUGAUCUACUGUGGCUGUGAAGCACCUCUGGCCACAGCAAUCAGCAGUCUCUGCACUUUGGGAGGACGAGUGAUGGAGGAGACACGUGUGGCAUGUGAAUUUCCCAGCCUCCCUGUCUUCAAAUGAUUGCAAAUCAAGUUAUCUGCUUCUGCCAUGCGAAAUACCAAAUGAGGAAGACCGGACCUUCACCGGGAUCAAAAGACAA